GAGGGUAUAGCUCGGUGGUAGAGCUCAUGCUUAGCAUGCAUGAGGUCCAGGGUUCAAUCCCCAGCACUUCCA
rnacentral:tRNA from 1 species